CCCACCAACUGCCCUAGAACCCCAUAAAACCUUUGUGGUAUUGAAACUCGCUCUCUCUCUCUGGCAUCUUGCCACUGUGUUGGUGUAGAUGAGAGAUUGAGCUCGAGCUAGCUCAAAUAAAGACUCUUUGCUUUUGCAUCGGUGUUGACUCCUUGGUGGUCUUCUGGGAUUCGCGACUUUGGGCACAACAUUUGGGGGGUCAUCCGGGAUCCCAGACACCCCCAGGACUCCCGACCCGGAGGGCCCUGUGCCGGCUGAAAUAUCCGAAUUUCCUUAUGUCUACUGUCUUGCAGUAAGCUCUCAUCAGAACUUUAACCAUUGUCAUUUGUAAGUCUUUUGCCAUUUAUAGUCACUGUUUUAUUACUCCUACACUAGUAAAGAACUAGAUUUCAGCAGAACAGGUAUUGGUUACAUAGGAUUAAGUGAACUAAGGAAGAUGGUUUUGUGACUUUUUGUUUCAGAUGUUGCUGAUAAAGUGUUUUAAGCUUUUUCUCUUAAGCUGACAGAUUCAUGAAUGACAAUACCUUUAUAAGCAGAAUUGAAACAUUUAUCUUUCUCUCUACCUGAUCCCUCAAGAAUUUAAAAGCUUUCAGUAUUUUUAUGUUUCAUGGCAGUAUGUUUAUUUGCAUAAGUUCAAUAAGAACCUGCAUUCCUUGUAAGAGGACCAAUUAAAAACACAGGUUAUACUACCAAGGCUUUGUUGGAAUGUCAUACCUGAGAGACACGUGCAUAAACUCAGAUAUGGACAGCUUUAAGGAACUAAGGUUGACUUUAUAAAGCCAACAAAGCCCCUUGGAAGAACUGGCCUGGUACCUUGCUUACAGGGUUCCUAGCAGCCUUACCAGGUGAGUAAGGAAGGUCACUUUCUGGCAGGUUCAGGAACCUCAAGAUGUCUCAGGGACCUCGAGAAGAGAGGAAUUCACCCAAAUCUACAGGUACUGCAGGCAAAACCUGAUGGCAAGUCUGGCUUGGCUGUCUGGCCUCAAGAGGCCUUUAAAAGUUCAAUCUGAAAUUCCUUACAAAAAGUUCCACAAGGCAUGUUUAAAAGAGCCUAUGUAAUCAAUUGCUCCUUUUGCUGCACUUAUGCAAAUAAUCAAGCCAACUGUUAAUUGUUUUCUGAAUCUGGCUAAUUCUAAUAAAAAUAAGGGUGAUUUUAGAGAAAAGUAUUGUUUCAAUAAUGCAGUCUUAUCUAUACUAAAUCCUAAUACUAGUCAUUGAGAUGUAAACUCGAUCCAGAAUUCUAGUUUCCCCAUAAUACCUGACUAUGAUUCUCAAUUAGAGUCUUCAUAUUUCUAGUUCUCAUAUUCAGCCAUGCAUUCUUAAUCUCGUCAAGUUUGUCCUUCCAGAAUGGAAAAUCCAACUCCAGAUGUUGCUACUUAACCUAAUAACACAAUUUGUUUUAUCUUGCCUAGAAGCCACAAAACUGCAAAUAGUAAUAGAAAUGAAACCCAGAAUAGAAGCGCCAACUUUCCGAGGCCCUCUCAACUGACCAGUGAUGGAGACCUAGCUGCACCCUUUACUGCGCCCCCUUCUCAGCACGAAGCAGCCAGAGCGGUCAUUGCCCCUUUUCCCUAGCAGCAGCUAGGGUCUCUAUCUGUAGAGGGGAGAAUGAGACAGGGACCAUAGGCUUAGACAGAAUAAGGUGAGAGCCUCUGGAGGGGGCAGGGCAGGAUAUUUGCAAUCAGAGCAACAUAAAGAAGAGUAGCACAUGUUUUAUUAUGCUAAUCAUUUGUAAUCGUGUAUAAGAUUCACUUUAGCAUAGUAAAAGGCCCAGGCCUAUGUGCUGUCUUUCCUCCUUCAGAUCUGACUAGGUAAUUUUGCAAGCUGAGCAAUUGACUUAGCAUGCAGACCCAGCUGUAGACGGCAUAGUAAAAGGCAGGAUUCUUUAGCAAAUAGACAAUAUCUUAGCCCACCUUAGAGGCUGGGCAUGCAGUCUUUUGAUGUGCGCCCGAACCAAGGCGCCAGUGUCCCAGAGAGAAAUCAAGGCAGGAAAUUAUCUUUAAUAUUCAAGGACCCCUUGCUAUCCUACUCCUUUUACUAACCCUUGGGCCCUGUAUCAUCAACAGGCUGGUCCAGAUUGUCAGAGACCACGUGGGGGCUGUCCAACCGAUAGUCCUCCGUGCUCAAUACAAGCCCCUAGUAAUC